rnacentral:lncRNA from 1 species
CUCAGCUGCUGCAUAUGGAAGUUCCCAGGCAAGGGGUCAAAUCAGAGCUGCAACUGCCUGCCUAUGCCAUAGUCACAGCAACAUCAGAUCCAGGCCAAGUCUGUGACCACACCACAGCUCAUGGGCAAUGCCAGAUCCAUAAACCACUGAGUGAGGCCAGGGAGCAAACCUGUGUCCUGAUGGAUACUAGUCAAAUUUGUUACCACUGAGCCACAAUGGGAACUCUAUGCAAUAUGUACCCUUGUGAGACUUCUUUCACUCACCAUAAUGUUUUCAAGAUUCUCCCAUAAUAUUAUAUGUAACAAUAAGGUGUUCCUUUUAUUGCUGAUCAGUAUUCAUUUAUAUAAAUAUGGCACUGUUUGCUUAUCCAUUCUUCAAUUGGUGGACACCUGGCUAUUUCUACUUUUUGGUUAAAAUGAACAAGGCUGCUAUGAAUAUUCUUAUAAAAGUCUUUUCCAGGUGUGUGUUUUCCUUCUCUUUGGUCAAUGACAAGUUGCAGAUCUUCUGGGUCUUAGGUUAAGUAUAUGUUCAGUUUUGUAAGAAACUGACCAGCCCUUUCCCCCGUUUUUCCUCUUUAAGAGGUUGUACAUUUUCUACUACCACCAACAAGAAAUAAUAGCUGUUCACCCUUGCCAGCAUAUGGCAUUGUCAAUCUUUUUAAUUUUAGCCAUUUGGGUGGGUGUGUCGUGGUAUCUUGUGAGAAAAUGGAUUUUUAAAAGACUUAAAAUUAUCUGAAAAUAAGUGAGACAUUUUUGGGCUACCAAAUUUUUCAGGGAAGUUACAUUUCUAAUUGUAUUAUUUUUGGAUGUGUUGAGCUAGAGAGUUAAGAGGGAAAAAAAAUCAUGUUCUGUCAAUGUCAAAAGCAUUAAGAAAAUAAUAUAGCUGCUAUUGUAUGCUUAUGUUCCAAGAACACUCUUCUAAGCUCUUUACACACAUAAACUCUCAGUAACUAGCAUGUAUUGAGAGAUUACUAUUUGCUAAGCACCUAGCACUUUACUUGAUAAAACUUAAACCUUCUCUACAACUUUGCCAAGUCAGUACUGAAUGCCAUUUUUCAAAGAUAAAGAAUCUGGCUGGCCCAAGACCAGUAACUGAGGGGUCUAGGAUCAGAACUCACAUCAAGACCCAUGCUUGGGGCUUGACCCUGCCCUACCUCACUGUGUCUGAGGGGUCACCCCGAGACGGAUGACAUUGUGCCUGGAUCUUUCUCUGCUCAAAUUUCCAAGCUUCUUUAAAGUUUCCAUCUGAGCAAACUGUAAGGUAGGGGUACCGCUUUUGCUGGCUCAGCAUGUGGCCGGAGAGAGGAAACAAAAUUUCUGUGACCUAAGAAGCAAAUCUCCCCUAAGGCAAGACAUUUCUGGCUAUUUCAAUUUCAUUCACUUAGCAACUUCUGAGACUCAAUCUCCUGUCCCUUCUCUGGAAGUCAGACUCAAAGCCUAAUUGAGACGUACGUCUCCUGCCAUCAGCUUCAGGCCCUAUGCUGACUAAAGUCUGCCCCAGAGGAUAAUUAAGCAACCCGGCACUUGAGACAGCACAGCUAGGCUCACACGGGUGGCAGGAGGGCUCACUGGUUAGGACAAUCUAUUUUGGAGUCAGAGGGACCUGCAUCCGACUCUUGACUCUUAUCAUAUUCCAGCUGUGAACUUCCGGUAACUUGUGUUAUCUUGCUGAGUCUCACUUUCUGUGGCUCACUUUCUGCAUCUGGAAAAUGGGCAUAAUAAUCUCAAUACAUACAUCACAGAGCGCUUCUAAGAUUAACUGCAGUAAUGACUAAAAUAGUCAUCACACUUCAUGACCUAGAGCUCAAGAAAUGUUGAAUAAUACUAUCCUGAUUGUUUAAUGGUGUCUGUCUUCACUAGAGAUUAUUAACAAAAGAAAAUGAAUGUUACUAGUGAGUGGUCUAGGUUAGAAAAAGAGAACUGUGAUUUAAUCCAAACCAACUAAAUGCUGUACUAACUACAUUCAGAGUUGCAGUGAUUCUGGGAGGAGGGAUUAAGAGUUGCAUUUUACAGAUGAGGGAAGAAAGUAAGUCACAACGUGGUUAAAUAACAUUACCAAAGGCGAUGAGGGGUCAGAGUCAGGAUCACAAAUAGAAGAGAAAAAAAAAAAAUGACUGCAUCAAAAACUACCCUAGGCAGAUGCUGUAUCAGGCAGUCCAUGGCCACUGGAAAUGCUAGGAACUAACACUGUUUAAUUUGGUGGGUGGAACGGGAAACUUGAAACAGAUCGCAGAUGGAGCAUAAGAAAGAUGUAGAAAGCAAAACGAUGAGCUCGGUCAUUUAAAGAUCUUCUUUUAAUUUUGGGUUUCAUAUCUUUCCUGAAGGGUGACCUUGGGAACAGUUACUGAAUCAUGCUGAACCUUGGUCUUCUUAUCUGGAAAGUGGACCCAUCUGGGCAGGAUCCCAAAGACAACUAUGUUCUGAAAUUUAAAGCCCUGUAGGCAGGGUAUUCCAAAGAAGACAGCAACCAGCAACCCUUGAAUCAAUAAUCAGGCUUGAGAAUGAAAGGCUUGCACAGUUAUAAUUCACGCUUGCCAUUUGAGCUGCCAUCGGUGACCACUGGCUGGAGGCUGGGCCUCAGUCACAUUUAACUCAGCCUCUUCUUUGAGUGGAUCCAUCCCCUUGCUUCUCUCAGUCCAAGCCACCAUCAGUUCGUGCCCAGGUCCCCAUCAGUCUUCCUGCUUUUCCCUUUGCCUCUUCGUCCCACUUCGAUCCUUGUGGCUUUUAAACAUAUAAAGUAAAUCCUGUCACUCAUCUGCUGGGAACCUAUUAGUGGCUUCCAGUUGCUUUAAUUAUUAAAUCUAAACUCUUUUUAAAUAAAGUAUAGUUGAUUUACAAGGUUCCUUCAAUUUCUGCUCUAUAGCAAAGUGACCCAGUCUCAUAUAUAUAUAUAUAUUCUUUUUUUAUACUAUCUUUAAUCAUGUUCUAACCCAAGAGAUUGGACAUAGUUCCCUGUGCCGUACAGUAGGACUUCAUUGCUUAUCCAUUCUAAAUAUAACAGUUUACAACAACUCACUCCCAAUCUCCCCAUCCACCCAACUCCCCCACCCCCAAACACAAAACUACAUGUCUGCUUUCCAUGUCUGUGAUCUGUUUCUACUUUAAUCAUUUGUCAUAUUUUAGACUCCACAUCUAAGUGACAUCAUAUGGUAUUUGUCUCUUUCUGACUUAUUUCACUUAGUAUGAGAGUCUCCAGUUGCAUCUAUGCUGCUGCAAAUGGCAUUAUUUUGUCCUGUUUAUGGCUGGGUAGUAUUCCAUUGUGUACAUGUGCCCCAUCUUCUUGAUCCAUUCAUCUGUCAAUGGACAUUUGGCUUUUUUCCAUGCCUUGGCUAUUGUGAAUGGUGUUGUGAUAUAUCCAAACUCUUUAAAAGGCCUGAAAUACCUUCAUGUUUGGGGACCUGUGGACCCCACCAAUUUCAUCUGAUACCUUCCCUCUGCCACUGAUUCUCUUUGCUCCAACCACACUGGCCUCCUUCUCUUUGUGACUGAGCCAGGCUGUCUCAACCUCAGGGCCUUUGCACCAGCUCUUCCCUCUGUCCAUGGUCUGUGAUACACUCCUGCUAAAUUUUCACAUGGCUACCUCUUCUCUCUGUCAGUCUUGGCCAAAUAUCUUCUUCUCAGAAAGGGUCUCUGAAUCAUGCUAAUUAGCCCCCAAUUAACUCCAUCACCUGGACUCAUUUCCUCAUGGUCACUAUGGGACACUGGGGUUAGUCGGUUUUCCUUUUACUUUCUAAUGACUGCCCCACCUGACUACAGUGUAAGUUCCAGGAGAGCAGAGGCCUUGUUUUGUGUAUUUCUGUAUUCCUAUGCUUAAAAUCAGGCCUGGCUCACAGUUGGCACUUGGACAAUAUCUAUAGAAGGUGCAAAUAAAUACCACUAGUCUUGGAACUGUGUGAUGGGGGUGGGAGCCAGCCACACAAGGAAGAAGCCCAUCGUUUCUCUCCUGGCUGAUCUUUCUCUCGAUUGCUGGGGAUGGGGGGAUGGGGAUGAGGGGUGGCCUGAAAUCAAUUUAAUCAGCUAUGCCUGCCAGUCCAAUCCAGCCUGGAGCCUCUUGGCUAGCAUCUCAUUAGUACUAGAGGACAAAGAGCAAGACUGUGCUUGUGAGAGGAUGUGGAGAAUGAGCUAAAGCUGCAUGGCCCUAAUAGGCCAUCAGAGACUAUAGCAACUGCAGUGGCCCCUGUGAAUCUGGAUACCAAGGGAGGCAGGUGGGGAUGCAGAGAGGAGGCUGGAGGGAGGAGAUGGGAGCUGAUCUAGAGAAAUAGCCAGGCAAGGGCCAGCA